CCGUGAUAUGAAAAACAACGGAAACGCAAAAGAAUUUUUUGAGAAAGGCGCAUGUUUCAAAUAAGAAAAAAAGGAUGCAGUUUAAAUCAAACGCAGAAAAAGCCGAGUACUAUAAACAAAGAGAAAAAGAAAGAGAAAGAAAAUUAAAACAUUACCGAAACAAUAGUGACAAAAUUAACUUCACAAAACGGUAAACAGAUUAGGCAUCUCUAUUCCUGCAACAAGAGCUCGGUCAGAAUGGAUGAGAUGGGAAACACCGCAGACCUCAUAACAGAAGGAGACAAUAUGGCCGUCGUUGCGGCGGAUGAAAAUGAUGAUUACUUCUUGUUAAAGGUAACUCGUACGCUAUACACAUUGCGAGCAGAGGGUAAAGAUGACUGGGUUAAUACUUUCCCGAAAGGAGCACGUGUUGUAGGAGGGUAUUACUACCACUC